rnacentral:rRNA from 1 species
AUUGAACGCUGGCGGCAGGCCUAACACAUGCAAGUCGAGCGAGCGGCGGACGGGUGAGUAAUGUAUGGGGACUGCCCGAUAGAGGGGGAUAACUACUGGAAACGAUGGCUAAUACCGCAUACUGUCGUAUAACCCAUAUGGGAUUAGCUAGUAGGUGGGGUAAAGGAUCACCUAGGCGACGAACUCUAGCUGGUCUGAGAGGAGGAUCAGCCACCCGGGGAAGGAGACACGGCCCAGACUCUUACGGAGGCAGCAGUGGGGAAUAUGGCACAAUGGGGGCAAGCCUGAUGCAGCCAUGCCGCGUGUAUGAAGAAGGCCUUAGGGUUGUAAAGUACUUUCAGCGGGGAGGCGUUACCCGCAGAAGAAGCACCGGCUAACUCCGUGCCAGCAGCCGCGGUAAUAC